rnacentral:rRNA from 1 species
AACGAACGCUGGCGGCAUGCCUAACACAUGCAAGUCGAACGAGAUCUUCGGGUCUAGUGGCGCACGGGUGCGUAACGCGUGGGAAUCUGCCCUUUGGUUCGGAAUAACAGUUGGAAACGACUGCUAAUACCGGAUGAUGACGAAAGUCCAAAGAUUUAUCGCCAGGGGAUGAGCCCGCGUAGGAUUAGCUAGUUGGUGUGGUAAAGGCGCACCAAGGCGACGAUCCUUAGCUGGUCUGAGAGGAUGAUCAGCCACACUGGGACCGAGACACGGCCCAGACUCCUACGGGAGGCAGCAGUGGGGAAUAUUGGACAAUGGGCGAAAGCCUGAUCCAGCAAUGCCGCGUGAGUGAUGAAGGCCUUAGGGUUGUAAAGCUCUUUUACCCGGGAUGAUAAUGACAGUACCGGGAGAAUAAGCUCCGGCUAACUCCGUGCCAGCCGCCGCGGUAA